GGUGCAAAUGAUGGUAUCUAGCGAUCAAAGCAUGACAUUACAUGAUUACAGCUAUUCAAUUCUGAUGCACC